rnacentral:tRNA from 1 species
GCCCGGGUGGCGAAAUUGGUAAACGCAGCGGACUUAAAAUCCGCCGAUCAUUGCGAUCUUGCCGGUUCGAGCCCGGCCCCGGGCACCA